GAUGAAGAACGUAGUGAAAUGCGAUAAGUAGUGUGAAUUGCAGAAUUCAGUGAAUCAUCGAAUCUUUGAACGCACAUUGCGCCCCUUGGUAUCCCGAGGGGCAUGCCUGUUCGAGCGUCAUUUCACCACUCAAGCCUGGCUUGGUGUUGGGCGGCGUCCUCUUUGGGGACGCGCCUCGAAACGCUCGGCGGCGUGGCACCGGCUUUAAGCGUAGCAGAAUCUUUCGCUUUGGAAGUCGGGGCCCCGUCUGCCGGAAGACCUGCUCGCAAGGUUGACCUCGGAUCAGGCAGGGAUACCCGCUGAACUUAAGCAUAUCAAUAAGCGGAGGA
rnacentral:misc_RNA from 1 species